UACGUAGGGUGCAAGCGUUUGUCCGGAAUUAUUGGGCGUAAAGAGCUCGUAGGCGGUCUGUCGCGUCGGCUGUGAAAUCCCGAGGCUCAACCUCGGGUCUGCAGUCGAUACGGGCAAACUAGAGUAUUGCAGGGGAGACUGGAAUUCCUGGUGUAGCGGUGAAAUGCGCAGAUAUCAGGAGGAACACCGGUGGCGAAGGCGGGUCUCUGGGCAAUAACUGACGCUGAGGAGCGAAAGCGUGGGGAGCGAACAGG
rnacentral:rRNA from 1 species